CUGACAUUGCAUCAGAAGGUCAGUAUUUUGAGACCACUCAUCGUCCACCCUACCUCCACCUGACAUUGCAUCAUGUCUGUUCAGUAACAGGAGACCCCCACAGCUCAGUGUGACUGGGAAAUACCCGUCGUCGUUGUAACACCGUAUCAAAGAUUUGUAGUUUUUUAAUUAUAUUUAUUUAACUAAGCUUUUAGAUAAACAAUUCGGGAUUAUUCUAGUAAAGAAAUGGAAUUUCUAACUUAAGAAGAACUGCUUAUACGGACUCCGGUAGUUUAGACUCCCGGAAAUCUUUCCCCAGCACCCAGAAACAUUCUGUGUUGUUUAGUCUCUGGGAAACUUUUCCCGGUAACCGAAAAAAAGAAAUCCGAGGACAAGGGAUUUUUCUGUGUUUGAGAAAGUCGUUUGGACACCGGCAAAUAUCUCGUCCCCGGAAGUUGCUUCCAUCAAAGAAAGUUUAUUUAUUUAUUUAAUUUUUGCAUAAUAUGCAGAACCCCCGACUGAAAUUAGAUUAGGUUAAAUAAGUUUCUUUGGUAAGGUUAGGUUGUGUUGGGUCCUGUUCAUUUUUGUUUCCAUUUUUUGUGUUCAAUAUCAUGCAAAUAGUAUCUCCUCCAAAAAUUUGGGUUCAAUUCCAUGAGUUUUUUUUUUGUUCUGGUGCUAACGGUCUCCUUCACCUUUACUCAUUAUAAUGUUUUACAGUGUUGUGUGUUAUUGGUUACAUUUCCAGGAAGCUUGAAGGACCAGCAACACAUCUCGGUAUGACCAGUACAGACUCAACUGUACACACUGUCCAUGUCCAGACCCAUAUAUUAUGACGGCACCAAUGACAACUGAUGAAACACAGCUGACCUGUGGGAGGUGUUUCGCAUAUUAUCCGAGUCAACAGAAGGAGUUCGUCUUUACGAUCAGCUCCUUCCGACCAUCUCCGAGAUGUCAUCCGGAGAGUUGAAGUUUGCUCUUGCCAUCCGGUCUCUUCUCCAGAGUAUCGUCAGAGGUACAAUGAUUUAUAUUAAGAAUAUCUUCAAUAUAAUUAGCCCUACCAUUUCAAGUGGAUGAAUGUUUAAUUAGUAAGAAUCAUGAUACCACUUAAAAAGUUGUCAAUUUGCUUUAAAAGGGUAUUUGUGGGGGAUAAAUGUAAAGGUGUACAUAUAAAUGAAAAUAUUGAGUGUUUUAUUAUGAGGUACAGCACAGUACAAGCUUUUAGGUAUGAUUUUGUCACCGCUAAAUCUGCAUUACACAUUUUGUAAUCUACUUUUAUUUCCAAAAUCUGGUUAAACUGUCUGGGUUUUUCUCACAGUAGGAGCAGAAAUAGGCACUCCUUGAUUAAUCACGCCUCCAUCACUGUGUCAAGCUCUGCUGACCUGGCUCUGUGCGGUGAUUUACUCUCUAAUGUGCUCAUGUUUUUGUCGAUGGAAUGUGGCUGUGUACUAUUUACACUUUGGAGGUCACAUUGAAGCAACACUUAGCAAUGAUAGGGAAUUACGCAGUGCAGUAUAUAUUUUAUUUCAAUAUUGUUGCUGCUAGUGAGUUGUACUAAACAAGUAUCCACUAUGUAUUUCAUAA